rnacentral:rRNA from 1 species
CCUACGGGAGGCAGCAGUGGGGAAUAUUGCGCAAUGGGCGAAAGCCUGACGCAGCGACGCCGCGUGAGGGAUGAAGGUCUUCGGACCGUAAACCUCUGUCAGCAGGGAAGAACGGUCAUUGCGUUAAUCAGCAGUGAAUUGACGGUACCUGCAAAGGAAGCACCGGCUAACGCCGGGCCAGCAGCCGCGGUAAUACGGAGGGUGUGAGCGUUAUUCGGAAUUACUGGGCGUAAGGCGCUCGUAGGCGGGAUGUCAAGUCAAGGGUGAAAGCCCCGCGCUCAAGGUGGGAACUGCCUUUGAAACUGGCAAACUGGAGUGUGUGAGAGGAUAGUGGAAUGCCAGGUGUAGGAGUGAAAUCCGUAGAUAUCUGGAAGAACAUCGGUGGCGAAGGCGACUAUCUGGCACAUAACUGACGCUGAGGAGCGAAAGCGUGGGUAGCAAACAGGAUUAGAUACCCUUGUAGUC